AUAGCUCAGUGGUAGAGCA
rnacentral:ncRNA from 2 species